UUAAUUUUAAAGUUCUAAAUUAAUAAAUUUUUUUAUAUAAUCUAUGUGUAACGAAAUAUUUAAUAAACCAACACACCUUGCUCCUCAAUCUCCUUUGGAAUCUCCUUGUAACUCGAGGAAAGACUACCCGAUUCGUUUCCUGUUCUCACUGCCCUUAUUGACAACUUUCUCACACUUCCUUCCUCUCUAUCUUUGCCUUCUCCUUAAACACUUUUAUUUUUUGAUAGAUCUUAGUGACUUUCAUAUGUUUGGUUGGAGGAUAAAA
rnacentral:lncRNA from 1 species